GAUGAACGCUGGCGGCGUGCCUAAUACAUGCAAGUCGAGCGAACGGACGAGAAGCUUGCUUCUCUGAUGUUAGCGGCGGACGGGUGAGUAACACGUGGAUAACCUACCUAUAAGACUGGGAUAACUUCGGGAAACCGGAGCUAAUACCGGAUAAUAUUUUGAACCGCAUGGUUCAAAAGUGAAAGACGGUCUUGCUGUCACUUAUAGAUGGAUCCGCGCUGCAUUAGCUAGUUGGUAAGGUAACGGCUUACCAAGGCAACGAUGCAUAGCCGACCUGAGAGGGUGAUCGGCCACACUGGAACUGAGACACGGUCCAGGCUCCUACGGGAGGCAGCAGUAGGGAAUCUUCCGCAAUGGGCGAAAGCCUGACGGAGCAACGCCGCGUGAGUGAUGAAGGUCUUCGGAUCGUAAAACUCUGUUAUUAGGGAAGAACAUAUGUGUAAGUAACUGUGCACAUCUUGACGGUACCUAAUCAGAAAGCCACGGCUAACUACGUGCCAGCAGCCGCGGUAAUACGUAGGUGGCAAGCGUUAUCCGGAAUUAUUGGGCGUAAAGCGCGCGUAGGCGGUUUUUUAAGUCUGAUGUGAAAGCCCACGGCUCAACCGUGGAGGGUCAUUGGAAACUGGAAAACUUGAGUGCAGAAGAGGAAAGUGGAAUUCCAUGUGUAGCGGUGAAAAUGCGCAGAGAUAUGGAGGAACACCAGUGGCGAAGGCGACUUUCUGGUCUGUAACUGACGCUGAUGUGCGAAAGCGUGGGGAUCAAACAGGAUUAGAUACCCUGGUAGUCCACGCCGUAAACGAUGAGUGCUAAGUGUUAGGGGGUUUCCGCCCCUUAGUGCUGCAGCUAACGCAUUAAGCACUCCGCCUGGGGAGUACGACCGCAAGGUUGAAACUCAAAGGAAUUGACGGGGACCCGCACAAGCGGUGGAGCAUGUGGUUUAAUUCGAAGCAACGCGAAGAACCUUACCAAAUCUUGACAUCCUUUGACAACUCUAGAGAUAGAGCCUUCCCCUUCGGGGGACAAAGUGACAGGUGGUGCAUGGUUGUCGUCAGCUCGUGUCGUGAGAUGUUGGGUUAAGUCCCGCAACGAGCGCAACCCUUAAGCUUAGUUGCCAUCAUUAAGUUGGGCACUCUAAGUUGACUGCCGGUGACAAACCGGAGGAAGGUGGGGAUGACGUCAAAUCAUCAUGCCCCUUAUGAUUUGGGCUACACACGUGCUACAAUGGACAAUACAAAGGGCAGCGAAACCGCGAGGUCAAGCAAAUCCCAUAAAGUUGUUCUCAGUUCGGAUUGUAGUCUGCAACUCGACUACAUGAAGCUGGAAUCGCUAGUAAUCGUAGAUCAGCAUGCUACGGUGAAUACGUUCCCGGGUCU
rnacentral:rRNA from 1 species